rnacentral:rRNA from 1 species
CCUACGGGAGGCUGCAGUCGAGGAUCUUCGGCAAUGGGCGCAAGCCUGACCGAGCGAUGCCGCGUGAGCGAUGAAGGCCUUCGGGUUGUAAAGCUCUUUAGUGGGGGAGAUCUAUCCCAAAAAUAAGCUCGGGCUAAGUUCGUGCCAGCAGCCCCGGUAAGACGAACCGAGCGAACGUUAUUCGGAAUCACUGGGCUUAAAGGGUGCGUAGGCGGGCUGUCAAGUCUGGGGUGAAAUCCGGCAGCUUAACUGGGGAACUGCCUUAGAUACUGAUGGCCUAGAGGAGGGUAGGGGCAGGCGGAACUGUAGGUGGAGCGGUGAAAUGCGUUGAUAUCUGCAGGAACUCCGGUGGCGAAAGCGGCGUGCUGGACUUUCUGACGCUGAGGCACGAAAGCUAGGGGAGCAAACGGGAUUAGAUACCCUGGUAGUC